GCCCUCGUAGCUCAACGGAUAGAGCAGCGCUCUUCUAAGGCGAGGAUAGAGGUUCGAUUCCUCUCGAGGGCA
rnacentral:tRNA from 1 species